GGUAAACGGCGGCCGUAACUAUAACGGUCCUAAGGUAGCGAAAUUCCUUGUCGGGUAAGUUCCGACCUGCACGAAUGGCGUAACGAUUCCCGCGCUGUCUCAACCAGGGACUCGGUGAAAUUGAAGUGCCGGUGAAAAUGCCGGCUACCCACGGCAAGACGGAAAGACCCUGUGCACCUUUACUACAACUUGGCACUGAAUUUUGGGAUAGCAUGUGUAGGAUAGGUGGGAGGCUUUGAAGCCGGGACGCUAGUUUCGGUGGAGCCAACCUUGAAAUACCACCCUUGCUGUUCUAGGAUCCUAACCUAGGCCCGUCAUCCGGGUCAGGGACAAUGUCUGGUGGGUAGUUUGACUGGGGCGGUCGCCUCCAAAAGAGUAUCGGAGGCGCGCGAAGGUUCCCUCAGGCUGGUCGGAAAUCAGCCGUAGAGUGCAAAGGCAUAAGGGAGCUUGACUGCGAGACUGACAAGUCGAGCAGGUGGGAAACCAGGUCUUAGUGAUCCGGCGGUUCUGUAUGGAAGGGCCGUCGCUCAACGGAUAAAAGGUACGCCGGGGAUAACAGGCUUAUCUCCUCCAAGAGUUCACAUCGACGAGGAGGUUUGGCACCUCGAUGUCGACUCAUCGCAUCCUGGAGCUGAAGCAGGUUCCAAGGGUUCGGCUGUUCGCCGAUUAAAGCGGUACGUGAGUUGGGUUUAAAACGUCGUGAGACAGUUUGGUCCCUAUCGGCCGUGGGCGCAGGAGAUUUGAGGAGAGCUGCUCCUAGUACGAGAGGACCGGAGUGGACGGACCUCUGGUGUUCCAGUUGUCACGCCAGUGGCAUAGCUGGGUAGCUACGUUCGGAAGGGAUAACCGCUGAAAGCAUCUAAGCGGGAAGCCCACUCCAAGAUUAGAUCUCCCGGGCCUUAGGGCCCCUGAAGACCCCUCGUAGACUACGAGGUUGAUAGGCUGGGUGUGUAAGUCCCGUGAGGGAUUGAGCUAACCAGUACUAAUCGGUCGUGAGACUUGACCAC
rnacentral:rRNA from 1 species